rnacentral:rRNA from 1 species
AUUGAACGCUGGCGGCAGGCCUAACACAUGCAAGUCGAACGGAGCGGCGGACGGGUGAGUAAUGCCUAGGAAUCUGCCUGGUAGCGGGGGCUAACGUCCGGAACCGGGCGCUAAUACCGAAUACUAUCAGAUGAGCCUAGGCCGGAAUAGCUAGUUGGUGGGGUAUAGGCCAACCAGGGCGAAGAUCCGUAACUGGGCUGAGAGGUUGAGCAGACAAACUGGGAUUGAGACACGGUCCAGACUCCUACGGGAGGCAGCAGUGGGGAAUAUUGGACAAUGGGCGAAAGCCUGAUCCAGCCAUGCCGCGUGUGUGAAGAAGGUCUUCGGGUUGUAAAGCACUUUAAGUUGGGAGGCGUUACCAGCAGAAUAAGCACCGGCUAACUACGUGCCAGCAGCCGCGGUAAUAC